AGUGGCAGACGAGCGAGUAACGCGUACUUAACUUGCCCUCGAGACGAGAACAACUAUGGAGACAUAGCUAAUUCUCGAUAUGCUCACAAUGGUGAAAUUCCUAUGUGAGGAAAGAUUUAUUGCUCGGGGAGAGGGGUGCGUCCUAUCAGGUUGUUGGUGAGGUAAAGGCUCACCAAGCCUAUGACGGGUAGCCGGUUUGAGAUGAUGAUCGGCCGCGAUGGGACUGAGACACGGCCCAUACUCCUACGGGAGGCAGCAGUGGGGAAUAUUGCACAAUGGACGAAAGUCUGAUGCAGCGAUUCUGCGUGGAGGACGAAGGAUUACGGUGUGUAAACUCCUGUUUUGGUAGAAGACGAAUGACGGUAUACCUAGAAUAAGGGACGGCUAACUAUGUGCCAGCAGCCGCCGGUAAUACCUAGGUCUCAAGCGUUAUCCGGAUUUACUGGGCGUUAAGAGUCCGUAGCCGGGACAUAUCAGUCUGUUUUCGAAUCCUAUGGCUCAACCAUAUGAUCGGGAAUAGAUACUGUAUGUCUGGAAGUCAUGGGAGGAUAGUGGAAUUCCAGGUGGAGCGGUGGAAUGCGUCGAUAUCUGAAAGAACUCCGAAAGCAAAGGCAGUUAACUACAUUGAACUUGACCGUAAGGGACGAAAGCUUGCGUACAGAACGGGAUUAGAUACCCCGGUAGUCCAAGCCGUAAAUGAUGCUUGCUAGAUCUUUUGGACCCGGUGCCUCUGGAGUGUCGUAAUCGUAACGAGCUAAGCAAGCCCCCUGGCUAGUAUAUUAGUAAGAAUGAAAGUCAAAGGGAUAGACGGGGGAACACACAAGCUAGUGGAUUGUGUAGAUUAAUUGGACACUAAGCCAAGUAUCGAACCUAGAUUGGAAAUGUACUAUGUCCUAUGUGCCAGCAUAAUAGUCCGAGCAAUCGGACAUGGUAUACAGUUGGUGCAUGUUCGUAGUCAGCUCGUUCCGUAAGGUGUCUAGUUAAGUCUGGAAACGAGCGCAACCCUCAUCUUUAGUGUAGAAUGUAUGAAGAGACUGCUCUGGUAAACGGAGAGGAAGGAGAGGAUGAACGUCAGAUCCUCAUGCCCCUUACAUUUAUGGGCUUCAUAGACGAUACAAUGGGUGAUACAA
rnacentral:rRNA from 1 species